GGGCCCGCACAAGCGGUGGAGCAUGUGGUUUAAUUCGAUGCAACGCGAAGAACCUUACCUACUCUUGACAUCCAGAGAAUUCGCUAGAGAUAGCUUAGUGCCUUCGGGAACUCUGAGACAGGUGCUGCAUGGCUGUCGUCAGCUCGUGUUGUGAAAUGUUGGGUUAAGUCCCGCAACGAGCGCAACCCUUAUCCUUGUUUGCCAGCACAUAAUGGUGGGAACUCCAGGGAGACUGCCGGUGAUAAACCGGAGGAAGGUGGGGACGACGUCAAGUCAUCAUGGCCCUUACGAGUAGGGCUACACACGUGCUACAAUGGCGUAUACAGAGGGCUGCCAACUUGCGAGAGUGAGCGAAUCCCAGAAAGUACGUCGUAGUCCGGAUUGGAGUCUGCAACUCGACUCCAUGAAGUCGGAAUCGCUAGUAAUCGUGAAUC
rnacentral:rRNA from 1 species